UACGGGGGGGGGCAAGCGUUGUUCGGAAUUACUGGGCGUAAAGGGCUCGUAGGUGGCCCACUAAGUCAGACGUGAAAUCCCUCGGCUUAACCGGGGAACGGCGUCUGAUACUGGAGGGCUUGAGUUCGGGAGAGGGAUGCGGAAUUCCAGGUGUAGCGGUGAAAUGCGUAGAUAUCUGGAGGAACACCGGUGGCGAAGGCGGUUCUCUGGGCCUGACCUGACGCUGAGGAGCGAAAGCGUGGGGAGCAAACAGG
rnacentral:rRNA from 1 species